rnacentral:lncRNA from 1 species
UAUGGAGUACUGGUGUUUUUCUUUCCUUUCAUUUCCCUGAUUUCAUUAUUUCAUCUUUGUGUACAAGAGUACAGAACUUGGUGUGAUUUUGCUGCAACCAUCAGGGUUCCGUUAGUUUACUAUUUGAAACCCAUACAACACAAGGUACGCCAACCACAGGGACAUGCUGAACAGAGCAGAGCAGAGCCGUGCAGAGCAUAAGUCGCAAUUCGGGCAACUGCAACACAGCGCCGCCUGCACCCGCCCUUUUUGUUUUCCGGAGAAGACAGUGUUUAAGAUUUAAAAUGAAGCUUUAUUUUUAAUGUUUAUGUUUUUGUUUAGCCCCACACUGUUCACAGCCUCAUAUGCCUCCUCCACCUUUUUCGUACCUUCUGUCUCCUUCCCUCACCUCACCUCCUUCACCCAACUUCUUCUGCAUAAACCUCUUUCUUAAUUUCACUCUUUUUUAACGUAACAUUUCCUUCAAAUUACUACACUCCCCCUUCAAUUACUCUCUCUCAACCAUAUCUAUUCAACCAU